AUGCCAUUUCCAAAAGCGCACAAUAGGAUUUCAGCAUCCUGCAAACCCAAACAUCCAAUACUACAAACGAAAAUGGACUCCGCCGCCGCAUCCUAUUCCGAUGGAACACCGACAUUCCAACCUCUCGUCGCCUGGAAUUCGUGAAACACAGAACAUAGCACCGGCCGUGAUGGUAUCAUCCUAAGAAAAUCCAACGAAAGAACUAACGAUUCCUUCAGCUCUGAUUCUGGUUCGGCGAUUCAGAAGUAAAAGUUCUUCACGAUCCACGCUUCCUCUCGCGAGAUGCCUUGGUGUUCCAAUCAACGGAUCGAACCACAAUUCGUAGCUUCCGUUCAAACCCGUAUACACGAGGGCGUGCAAAAUCAAAGAAAAAGAACGAGGAACUCACCGGAUUAGUCUGAUGAUCAACAGGUGAGUUUGGCUGCCUAAUGGACUUGCGUUUGCGGCUGUCGUUUGAUAUGCGUUAAGCUCGCGUACGACAAUUUUGUUCCGUCAUUUAGUUGUGCGUACAACGCAUGGUUUUCUUUGGUUUUCGUUUAGCUGCAGUUUUCUUUGUUUCAUUUCACUUUUCCUAUAACAAAACAAAUUUCAUCCUUAA